GAUGAACGCUGGCGGCGUGCCUAAUACAUGCAAGUCGAGCGAACGGACGAGAAGCUUGCUUCUCUGAUGUUAGCGGCGGACGGGUGAGUAACACGUGGAUAACCUACCUAUAAGACUGGGAUAACUUCGGGAAACCGGAGAUAAUACCGGAUAAUCUUUUGAACCGCAUGGUUCAAAAGUGAAAGACGGUCUUGCUGUCACUUAUAGAUGGAUCUCGGCUGCAUUAGAUAGUUGGUAAGGUAACGGCUUACCAAGGCGACGAUGCAUGGCCGACGGGAUAGGGGGAUCGGCCACAUGAGAGCGGAAACACGGACCAUGCUCCUACGGUAGGCAGCAGUAUGGAACCGUCGGCAAUGGGCGAAAGCAUUACGGAGCAACGCGGAGUGAGUGAUGAAGGUCUUCGGAUCGUAAAGCUCUGUUAUUAGUGAAGAACAGAUGUGUAAGUAACUGUACACAUCUUGACGGUACCUAAUCAGAAAGCCACGGCUAACUACGUG
rnacentral:rRNA from 1 species